AGUAUUUCUGCCAGUGAUGUAUGAGGGUUCCAAUUAAUUGUUCCACAUCCUCUCCGAGAUCUGAUGGUGUCAGGUUUUACAUUAAGCCCUUCUGGUAGACUGCCUAAUGAAGCAGAAGGUCACGAGAAAGUCAUUUUCCUUCUCUGACUUGCGUCUCCCUGGAGAACUACUGCCGGUAGCUACCGGGACCUCCUUCCCUAGGACUGGCACUGAGUGUCCCUGGAUCCAGCCCCGAAUGAGGAUCGAGUUCUGUUAUUAUCUCCACGUUCUGGAGGAGGAAACUGAGGCACAGACACUGGCCCGAGAUCAGACAGUGGUGUGAGCACCCGUCCUCAACUACUAAGCUCUGCUGAGAUGGAAGGGCGUGGCCACCUAUUGGACAAGCGCCUCGAGGAAGGAGAAAUCAAGGACAACCAAGAGGAUGAUGGGAACGUUACCCUGAACCUGAAUGUGCAGAUGUGCUGGUUUCUACGUUCUUCUGCUGCUAACUCCCCCCUUAUUAGUUGUGAGGUCUUUUUUUUUUUAAUUUUUUUUUUAACGUUUAUUUAUUUUUGAGACAGAGAGAGACAGAGCAUGAAUGGGGGAGGGUCAGAGAGAGGGAGACACAGAAUCUGAAACAGGCUCCAAGCUCCGAAUUGUCAGCAGAGAGCCGGACGCGGGGCUUGAACUCACGGACCGCGAGAUCGUGACCUGAGCCGAAGUCGGCCGCCCAACCGACUGAGCCACCCAGGAGCCCCUGUGAGGUCUUUAAAGGCGGGUAUCCUGAAAUCACCCACGGCUUCCAAAAGGGUUUCAUCUACUCUGGGUGGGAGCAGUCUUAGGGAUGGAGAGAGGACCGUUCAGACCAGGUGCAUCUUGGAGCUGGUGAACGUCAGUGGAAGCUUCAUCUUCACAGACAUCUGCCUUCUAGAAAACAGAGUUGUGGUCAAUCGCUUUGCCAAUGAGUCAAGAAACUGUUUUCUUAACCAGGUCAGUAGAAUAGCAUAAAAGGCCUUAAGUCACAUCAAGUCUCCUUAGAGAUGAUUUUUGAACUUGCAGAACAUGCAUCUAUAAAUUGGCUUGGACACAGAUUUCACUGAAGGGAGAAAAAGUACAAAAGACUAUGAUAGACCCAAGGAUUAUUGUCUUGGCUUCUCUAGAACAGCUGUCUGGCAAAUGUUACACCACGUCUGAGAUUAUUUUAGAAACUUUGUCUUGGAGAAGAACACGUAGGGAGAAUACCAGACGGAUUUGCUCCUUUUUUCCCCCUCCCCAUCACAGAAUAAGAAUUUUAAGGACAUUUGUACUUUCAAUGAGAUCAUCCUGGUGAUGGUCUUAUUUUUUGAAACUUAAAUCAUGUCACAUCUAGUAAAUUUAUAGCCAAGUGUGGUUACAGCAGUGAGUUGAUCCCAAUAUAGCUAUUUAGGUCUCCCUCCUCCUUUUCCUUUUCUUUAUUAUCAUGAUAAAUAGAAUAUUCUAAAGAUAUUUUGUUUCACCAAGUAUCAAUUGAAGCAUUCUAAAUGAAAAAUGUAUUUAGUGGUGAGAUGAUCAAUGAUACCUACUUUCUUCAGGGCCACCUGACUGGCUCUGUCGGUAGAGCAUGGAACUCUUGACCUUGGGAUUGUAAGUUCGAGCCCCAUGUUGGGUGUAGAGAUGACUUAAAAAUAAAAUCUUAAAAACAAGCGAUAUCUACUUUCUUCAGUUUCCUUUCAGUCCUUAUUUU